GCAAGAUGAGACCUGUUUUUAUUGGGAACAGAGCUGGGGUAGGUGGGGAAUGGAAAGGAAGCUGCAGUGGUUGAGUCGAGCGCUGAUGAGUCUAAGCCAGGCAGUGGGGCCUGGGGAGGGACCCAGAGGUGUCCCUGACUCCGGACCAGGCACAGUGGAGGAGGGAGGAGGGCAGACGGGGAUGGGGGUGGAGUCAGGAUGGACGAGGAGGAGGGAGUUGAAGGAUGAACAAAGGAGAUGAGAAAAUGUUUUGUCAGUUGACUGUCCUCCCAGUGGCCAUAGGAAUGGAGCGGUCACAUGUCCACAUGAGGGUUGGUUAAUUGGGCUCGUCCGGGUACAGCAGGUUAGACCAACUCUGGGCGUAUCCUUGCAUCUGGCUUUUUGCAAUGACACAAUCUGGUUUCCAGGAAGAUCAUGAACACAGCACUAGCUUUUCUCCUGGCUUAACCUCCUGGAUCUAGCUUCCUCUCUGAUGCCUCCUGCUGUCCCUGUGGUGCAGGGAAUGGUGAGUUGGAGACUGGGCUGUUGGCCUGCAGGCCAGACCAAGUCAGAGCUGGAGGAAGAGCCGGCAGAUUGGAGGUGGGGGUAAGGGGGAGACUAGCGCCCACUGAGCCCAGCCCUCAUGCAGGUUCCAGAGUGUGUCUGCUGCUGGCCUGAGAGCAGAAGGUCAAUCAGACCUGGAGGCCCCUGUCCUUUCCAGGCCUCUGUGUUCUAGAUCCUUCCACUUCAGGCCAUGUUUCUUCCAGUGAUUCUCACCCUCUCUCUCCCAGAGUUCUCAGUCUCAAAUGAAAACUCUCAUUUUGCUGAUAAAUUUGAAUUUCAGAUAAUGAAUAAUUUUUCAGUACAAGUAUAUCCCAAAUAUUGCAUGGGACUUACUUAUAUACUUUAAAAAAAAAAAGGUCUUAUUUGAAAUUCUACUUUAACUAGGCAUCUUUUAAAAAAAUUGGCUAAAUCUGGCAACACUGUCAGUUUUCCCUCAGCAGGUGGAGACACCACUGCCUGAUGUCUCACGGGCCCUGCUCCUCUAUUUAUUUAGUUAACGUUUUGGCCUUGCUAGGGGCGAGGGUAAGUUCCUAGGUCAGGGCUGGAACCCAAACCACAGUAGUCAUCUGUCAACCUGCUGCAGUGACAAAGCCAGUAUCCUAACCCACGGAGCCACAAGGGAACUCCAGGCUCUGAUCCUUUAGAGCUGGGAGGGGGGGCUUUACCUCCAUUCACUAAGCAGACGAAUCACAGGACAAAACUCUGAAGAGGGCGUUCAGUCCCCUUAGGGUGAGAAAACUAAGGCUCAAAGAAGUGAAAUGACCUGCCUAAGAUCAGACAGUAAAUCAGGCGCAGAGGAAGAAUCGCAGCCCUGGCCCUGCGGACUCCCAAGUUCAAGCUCUCUGCCCUCCCUACUCGGUCUGGCAAACCACCCCCACUCCAAGGGGCAAGGCCUAAGGGUGGGCUUCCACCCGGCAAUUCUCACUGGAGGAAAAAAGGCCGGCGCCGCGGAGGCCCCCAGGCGCGGAACCGACAGGAUUUGGUGCUAGAAUAUUCCAAGUGAUUUUGAAACCAAGCGCCUCUUAGUAAUAACAAAACCAACCCAGGUCAUUUGCAUAGCUCUCGGCAGUUGACAAAGGGUGUCCCCGGCAGUCGAUUAGAAUAAUAAAGAAAGCAGAUGGGAGAGAAAAUGCCUGCAGGACCCCUGGGCAGGCCCGGGGACUUUUCCUGCGCUCAAUCCGGGUGUGGCGGGGGGAGGGGACGGGAAGAGAGGGCAGAGGGGGUCUUUCUCUCGGCUGACUUCCAGGAAUUCCGGCGUUAGGGACCUAGACCCCCACCCCACCCCCGCUCCCCGCCCGCCUACGGCUCGGGAGGCAGAUCUGGGCGGGGCUUAGAGCCCGGGUAGCGGCGCCGCUCCGGUGGGUGUGAACUAGUGGGGGCAUCAUUUCCUGACACUUCCAGGUGGGCCGGGGCCCCUGCCUGUGCCCAGCCAGCCCCAAGGUGACUUCCAAGGAAGGACAAGGUGGGUCAGGGAAGGCUGGCGGGGAGGGGCUUGUAACCUCUGCGGAGGGGAGAGAAUGGGGGUGGAGGAGGUGGGUGGGGGGAAAUGUGGUCAAAAUGAGACUUACCUAAGUUAAACCUUGUUUUCCUCUUGAGUCACAGGAUCCUCUCGGAUCCUUUACUGUAAGUUCUCACCUGCAGUUAGCAGAGACUGCUCAAUACUUGAGUUUUGAGUC
rnacentral:lncRNA from 1 species